rnacentral:lncRNA from 10 species
GCGGGGACAAUCAGGAAGGUCGAAAGGAACACAGCCAGGAAUCAGGAAGUAUGCACCCAAAGGCUGCUAAGUAACCAAGGGAGGUGUUACGAAGCCCACACACUAAAGCUGGAUGGAAGCAGUCUGUGGCAGGGAUUAUGCCUAUUUUGUUUACCACUAUAUCUCAAGCACCUGGAACAAGGUUACUGGGGUUUAAAAUGGCCUUCAGGAAGACUCUAUUAUUUUUCCACUUUGGCCCCUCCCUCUGCCAAAAGCACCUUGUGAAAAGUGAGUUCCUCAAAUAAGAAGAUGAAGAAACUAUGACACAGAGAGGCGAAGUAACUUGAUAAGAUCAAAACAGUAAGUAAAUGGUAUAGCCAAAUUUUGAACACAAGCUACCUGACUCUAGAGGCCAUAACCUUAUCCACUACACUAUAAUGCAAUUUUGUGGUUCUCUGUGCAUCACUGAAGAAAAAACAGAUGCUCACAUAAUUUUUUCUUAUUUUGUUUCUUUGGAAAAAUAAAGCCAAUUGGCUAAUGCUAUUGAGAUCUAAGAAAACUUCUGUUCUUGCUUAGAAAUGUUAGUUCUUUUAUCCAUUAAACACACACAAAAAAAGCUGAAUUUAGUGAUGUCUCAUAUUAUCUCAUACAUAUCUGUCCACCACAGGCUCUAAAUGGAAAAGGAGAAAUAGCAGGUCAUGAAACUGUUUUAAUGAAUGUUUAAGUCAGAAAAUGUAUAUAAAUGACUUUUAUUCCAUAUUUAAACUUAAAUUUUUAUAUAGGUUUUAAGUGUUAUCUCUUUUCCACAAAUUAUUUAUUACAAAAAGCUCAAGUUGUGUUUAACAAAAUGGACUUAUAACAAAUGUCUUUUAAAAGAUUCUAAAUUUGUUAAUUCUUAAGCUACAACCAUAAGGACUUCCUGUGUCAGCUUCAUUUGUGAUUUCCAGAUCCUUAGUUAACUUUAAGGAUAUGAAUAUUCUUUUGUAAGUAACCUUGGAAAACUGGACAAUUUUAUGACAUAUGUGCUUUAAUAACUGGUGUAGCUGUUAGCUACCAGGUUAAAAAGGAUGUAUAGAUGGCUUUAUGUUGAUGUGAAUACUUGUUUUGAAGAUAUUUUUUAAAUGUGGAUAGGUAAUGGGAUGUGUAUGCAAGGUAAUGAAUUUUAUUUAUCUAAGUAAAAAAGAAUUAUUUUACCUUAAGGAGAGUCUGGUUAUGCUAGCCUAGAAGAGUAUUUUUUUAUUAUUAUACUUUAAGUUUUAGGGUACAUGUGCACAACGUGCAGGUUUGUUACAUAUGUAUACCUGUGCCAUGUUGGUGUGCUGCACCUAGUAACUCAUCAUUUAGCAUUAGGUAUAUAUCCUAAUGCUAUCCCUCCCCACUCCCCCAACCCCACAACAGGCCCCAGUGUGUGAUGUUCCCCUUCCUGUGUCCAUGUGUUCUCAUUUUUCAAUUCCCACCUAUGAGUGAGAAUAUGCGGUGUUUGGUUUUUUGUCCUUGUGAUAGUUUGCUGAGAAUGCUGGUUUCCAGCUUCAUC